rnacentral:rRNA from 1 species
UACGAAGGGGGCUAGCGUUGCUCGGAAUUACUGGGCGUAAAGGGCGCGUAGGCGGACAUUUAAGUUAGAGGUGAAAGCCCAGGGCUCAACCCUGGAAUAGCCUUUAAUACUGGAUGUCUUGAGUUCGGGAGAGGUGAGUGGAAUGCCGAGUGUAGAGGUGAAAUUCGUAGAUAUUCGGCGGAACACCAGUGGCGAAGGCGACUCACUGGCCCGAUACUGACGCUGAGGCGCGAAAGCGUGGGGAGCGAACGGG